UUCUUCGGCUCCUUUCUCUCCUUUUUUUCCCUUCCGCACCCCUUCUUUUUUUUUAGCUCGCCCUGUUUAUCAAAAACAUGUCCUCUUGAUUUUUUUAGGAGGUCAGGCCUGCCCAGUGAAAUUUUUAACGGCCGCGGUAUACUGACCGUGCAAAGGUAGCAUAAUCAUUAGUCUUUUAAUAGAGGGCUGGAAUGAAGGGUUUAACGAAAAAUUAACUGUCUCAAUUAUAUUUUUGAAUUUAGCUUUUAAGUUAAAAGGCUUAAUUUUUGUUGGAGGACGAGAAGACCCUAUAGAGCUUUACAUUUUUAUUUAUUAAUUUUUUAAGUUUAAUAAUUAAUAUUAAUUUUUAGAAUUGUUUUGUUGGGGUGACAAGAAAUAUAUAUGUAACUUUUAUUAUUUUGUUUACAUUAAUUUAUGAAUUUUGGAUCCAUUAAAGAUGAUCAUUAGAAUAAGUUACCUUAGGGAUAACAGCGUAAUCUUCUUUCAGAGUUCAAAUUUACAAGAAGGCUUGCGACCUCGAUGUUGGAUUAAGAUUAUAACUAGGUGUAGCAGCUUAGUGUAUAGGUCUGUUCGACCCUAAAUCUAACAGGUUUGUUCUUAC
rnacentral:rRNA from 1 species